rnacentral:rRNA from 1 species
UACAGAGGCCUCGAGCGUUAGGCGGAAUCACUGGGCUUAAAGCGUGUGUAGGUGGAUCGUUAAGUACCUUGUGAAAUCCCACGGCUUAACCGUGGAACUGCUUGGUAUACUGGCGGUCUUGAGCCACUUAGGGGCUACCGGAACAAAUGGUGGAGCGGUGAAAUGCGUAGAUAUCAUUUGGAACGCCAAUGGUGAAAACAGGUCGCUGGGAGUGUGCUGACGCUGAGACACGAAAGCCAGGGGAGCAAACGGG